rnacentral:rRNA from 1 species
UACAAAUGGCAUGAGAUUACAUGAUUGGUUUGUAGUUAAUAUAUUUGGAGGGACAAUGAAGGAAUGCAAUUUAUUAGGUGGAAUUUUAAAUUAGAAGUAGUUUGGCUAAAAGAGGUUUAUGAAACUGUGAAAUUUGGAAGUUAAACCA